UUUGAGGUGCCAGAUUAUAUGGGUAUGGUUUAGGACCUUAUUAUGACAUUGAAGUCUCUCAAG
rnacentral:tRNA from 1 species